rnacentral:rRNA from 1 species
CAGUCGCCGCGGUAAUACCGAGGGUGCGAGCGUUAAUCGGAUUUACUGGGCGUAAAGCGUGCGUAGGCGGCUUCUUAAGUCGGAUGUGAAAUCCCUGAGCUUAACUUAGGAAUUGCAUUCGAUACUGGGAAGCUAGAGUAUGGGAGAGGAUGGUAGAAUUCCAGGUGUAGCGGUGAAAUGCGUAGAGAUCUGGAGGAAUACCGAUGGCGAAGGCAGCCAUCUGGCCUAAUACUGACGCUGAGGUACGAAAGCAUGGGGAGCAAACAGGAUUAGAUACCCCUGUAGUCCCUGUCUCUUAUAC